GAUCAUGGCUCAGGACGAACGCUGGCGGCGUGCCUAACACAUGCAAGUCGAACGGAGAAUUUUAUUUCGGUAGAAUUCUUAGUGGCGAACGGGUGAGUAACGCGUAGGCAACCUGCCCUUUAGACGGGGACAACAUUCCGAAGGAGUGCUAAUACCGGAUGUGAUCAUCGUGCCGCAUGGCAGGAUGAAGAAAGAUGGCCUCUCGAAGCAAGCUAUCGCUAAAGGNUGGGCCUGCGU
rnacentral:rRNA from 1 species